GCGUGAGCGAAGAAGGCCUUCGGGUCGUAAAGCUCUGUUGUUAGGGAAGAACAAGUAUCGGAGUAACUGCCGGUACCUUGACGGUACCUAACCAGAAAGCCACGGCUAACUACGUGCCAGCAGCCGCGGUAAUACGUAGGUGGCAAGCGUUGUCCGGAAUUAUUGGGCGUAAAGCGCGCGCAGGCGGUCCUUUAAGUCUGAUGUGAAAGCCCACGGCUCAACCGUGGAGGGUCAUUGGAAACUGGGGGACUUGAGUGCAGAAGAGGAGAGUGGAAUUCCACGUGUAGCGGUGAAAUGCGUAGAGAUGUGGAGGAACACCAGUGGCGAAGGCGACUCUCUGGUCUGUAACUGACGCUGAGGCGCGAAAGCGUGGGGAGCAAACAGGAUUAGAUACCCUGGUAGUCCACGCCGUAAACGAUGAGUGCUAAGUGUUAGAGGGUUUCCGCCCUUUAGUGCUGCAGCUAACGCAUUAAGCACUCCGCCUGGGGAGUACGGCCGCAAGGCUG
rnacentral:rRNA from 1 species